rnacentral:rRNA from 1 species
ACGACUCCUGGCAACGGAUAUCUAGGCUCUUGCAUCGAUGAAGAACGUAGCGAAAUGCGAUACGUGGUGUGAAUUGCAGAAUCCCGCGAACCAUCGAAUCUUCGAACGCAAGUUGCGCCCGAGGCCAUGGCCGAGGGCACGCCUGCCUGGGCGUCGCGC